UACGUAGGGGGCAAGCGUUGUCCGGAUUUACUGGGCGUAAAGCGCGUGUAGGCGGCCACGCAGGUCCGUUGUGAAAACUAGAGGCUCAACCUCUAGACGUCGACGGAAACCGUGUGGCUAGAGUCCGGAAGAGGAGAGUGGAAUUCCUGGUGUAGCGGUGAAAUGCGCAGAUAUCAGGAAGAACACCAAUGGCGAAAGCAGCUCUCUGGGACGGUACUGACGCUGAGACGCGAAAGCGUGGGGAGCGAACAGG
rnacentral:rRNA from 1 species